CAAGAAUAUGAUACACCCUCGGUUAAUAGGGAAGGAGGCUGCCCUAAUGCAGUGGUUCCCAAACUUGAACAUUCCAAACUCCCUAGAGAGCUUGUUAAGUAACAGAUUGUUGGGGCCACCCUCGGGGUUUCUGAUUCCAUAGGUCUAAGGUGGCACUCAAUAGUUUGCGUUUAUCUCAAGUUUCCAGGUGAUACUGAAGAUGAUUGUCCUGGGACCACACUUUGAGAAUAACUGGUCAUUUUGGAGAUGGUUGGUGGACUAUAGGAAUCAAGCUGCUUCGCCCAGGGAUGAGAGGGGCAGCCUCGAAGGAUUUUUCAAAUUACAUCUGCAGCCUGUACCACGGAAUUGAGGUUUCUCUUCCCAGAAUGGUGGAACCGGAAGAAAAACGGAGCUAGUGAGCUGGGGAGGGGAUGAGAGCCCCGUCUUAAUUUCUUGCUUCCCUCACAGGUACAAGAAGCGCUGUGUACUCUCUGGCAUUGUGGGAGCUUGUGCUGACUUCCUCAUCUUGACUCAUAAAUAUAUCAGAGCCACCUCUGCCGAUUCAGAAAAACAAAUCCAACCAGCCUCUAUUUCAGACACUUCCUUAGACCCCUAGGAGAGUUAUUGUUAACUUCCCUAGACCCCUAGGAGAGUUAUUGUUUGGACGCCAGCGGCCGAACCCAUCAGACGGGCUAGGCGCGCACGUGCAGUUACCAAAAUACAGAUGUUUACUGUGGGAGGGACAGACCAUACUGGUGCAGACCUAGGACACAAAAGUGGUCAAAACUCUUUUCCUGUGUUCCCUACUUUGCUCGGUUUCCAGGCCUACUCAGUCUAAAAAGCUGAAGAGAAAAACUGACACUGCGUUGGCCGGGAAUCGAACCCGGGUCAACUGCUUGGAAGGCAGCUAUGCUCACCACUAUACCACCAACGCAUCUGAAAUACGCUUGAUUCCUUUAGAGUAUCAGAACUAAAUAAUCAGGUUUGUCUUCCCGUUUAUUUCUAGGCUAAGCAAUUUAGACUGCAGGAAAAACCUACAAGAGGAAAAUUAAAAGGAAGCUCUCUGGAAUUUCUCCUAUUAAAAAUUCUGUAGUAGUAUCUUGUUUCACAGCUUUAAGAAAAGUCAAUUCUAGUUUCCUGGACAUUUAUUCCACACAUGCGCAAAAUUACAUAUGUACAAGACCGUAUAUGACAGCAUUUUUUUUUCCAAAGAGCAAAGGGCUAGAAAUAACCUAAGUGUCUAUAAUAGGAAGCUGGCUAAACUAAUUAUGGAAAAUCCAUACAACGGAAUGCUAUGUGCCAGAAGAAAGAAUGAGGAAGUUCUUCAUGUCU
rnacentral:lncRNA from 1 species